GAUGAACGCUGGCGGCGUGCCUAAUACAUGCAAGUCGAGCGAACAGAUGAGGAGCUUGCUCCUCUGACGUUAGCGGCGGACGGGUGAGUAACACGUGGAUAACCUACCUAUAAGACUGGGAUAACUUCGGGAAACCGGAGCUAAUACCGGAUAAUAUAUUGAACCGCAUGGUUCAAUAGUGAAAGACGGUUUUGCUGUCACUUAUAGAUGGAUCCGCGCCGCAUUAGCUAGUUGGUAAGGUAACGGCUUACCAAGGCAACGAUGCGUAGCCGACCUGAGAGGGUGAUCGGCCACACUGGAACUGAGACACGGUCCAGACUCCUACGGGAGGCAGCAGUAGGGAAUCUUCCGCAACGGGCGAAAGCCUGACGGAGCAACGCCGCGUGAGUGAUGAAGGUCUUCGGAUCGUAAAACUCUGUUAUUAGGGAAGAACAAAUGUGUAAGUAACGAUGCACGUCUUGACGGUACCUAAGCAGAAAGCCACGGCUAACUACGU
rnacentral:rRNA from 1 species